ACUUCAAUUCAACUCGGAAAUUGUAGUCUUGUUUGGAAAAUGCUAUCUGCUUGUCGUGUUGCGUUUAAAUAAUUGAACUCUCAGUGUUGUUGGUAUUUUACGCGAUUAUUAACCGUUGAAGUGCAACGGAAAAUUUUAUUAGAAGAGGUAAAGUGAGUUAAAAGUCAAGGGUGUUAGUGAACUUAAACGAUCCUGAGUUAUUCCUACUGUGAUUUACGUGUAAAGGAAGAAGUUUUGGUUUUAAAUGAUAAUCCUUGAAGAUAAUUUAAAAGAUAAAAUAUGGAGUGGGUUCUUAAGAGUCCACAGAUACAUAGCAUAUUCAGCAAUCUUGGCUUUAUGCAUGCAGAUGGAUAUCACGUAAAUGACAACUGUAAUGCUGCCCUCGAAACUAUUUUACACAAUAUUAUAACUGAAGAUAAGUAUCUGAGGACAUACCGCAGGAGCAUCAGUUUCGGGCAAAACAUAAAAAAGGACUUAAUACCUCUUUUGAUACACGCUAAGGAAGAUAAAACUAUAGAAUUGCUAGUGAGAAUACUAGUCAAUUUGUCAAUACCCAUAGAGUGUUUGCUAUCAGUUGAAGUAACGUCGCAAUCAGAUUUUGGGUUGCAUAUAGUAUUUGAAAUAAACCAGUUACUCACAGCCACUAAAGCGGCCUUUACUGGUCCACGGGCAACAAAAGUAGUUGUAGACUUUUUAAAGAAAAAUGUGGAUCCUGGUCAAGCAAUAGUGUCACCGGAACAAUGUACAAAUAUAAGUAACAGUCUUUUGUUAUUGAGAAACAUACUACAUAUACCAGAGGACUUCAAAAGUCCUAUUCCAGGCAACAAUGGAUCUGGUCACGCCGUGCAAAAUCAGAUUCUCUGGAACAUGUUUAGCCAAAGCGUUGAGAAAGUACUGAUUAAGCUAAUGAUUAUACCGGAAGCGACUAAUUGGGGAGUUACAAUGGUACAGCUUAUAGCACUGAUGUAUAAAGAUCAGCAUGUUGUUACAUUGCACAAACUUCUCAAUAUGUGGCUGGAGUCGUGUAAUUCUGAGAGUUCAGAAGACAAUGAAAGUAACACUUCUCCACCGGAUAGAGGUAGUGAAGAUUCAUCACCUAUGCUGACAUCAGAUCCGACGUCAGAUUCAUCAGAUACGGGUGGUAGCGGAAAAAGUAACGAUGAACCAAAUUCGGAGACCAAUGGGUGGGGAACCUCUGAAAACAUUACAAUGAAAGAUGACAAUCAAGAGUUUCUAUCUCCGUUACCUGAUGAGAAUGACAUUCACAUGAGGGAUCAAGAUCAAGACACAUUCGUUGGCGAUGAAAAUAUGAAGUCUGAUAAUGAAGAAAAAGUGAUGUCAGAAGAUUUGCCAACCGAGACAAGUAAUAAUCAACAGCCAGCAAAGGCUGAGAAGAAGGGGAAGGGGAUAAUAUCUGAAAAUUCUGACUGCGGAUAUGCAACGCAAAUCGAAAAUCAAGAGUCAAUUUCUACUUCAAGCAACGAUGACGAGAUACCUUUCAAAAAACCAGUUCACCAAAAACCACAUAAUCCUAAACAAAGAGUGAACACCAAGGCACGGACUGCUGUUACAUUACAAGAGAGAAAGCGUAAGAAGAUAACUAAAAGGGGUAAAGCGAACAUUGAAAAUCUAAUUCGUUAUUUCAGCAUAAACGUACAAGGGCUUACUCAUCAAACUCCAACAGAUGAUGACAUAUCCAAUGUGCUUAAAGAAUUUACUGUUGACUUUUUACUCAAAGGUUACAAUUCUUUAGUACAAACACUACACAGCCAAAUCCUCACAAACGUAUUAUUGGAAAUCGACACGUCACAUUUUUUCUGGUUAGUGACUUAUUUCCUGAAGUUUGCUACCCAAAUCGAGUUGGAUUUAAAACAAAUUUCCGGUGUAAUAUCUUUUGAUAUAGUAUCAUAUUUGACCGCUGAGGGUGUCAAUUUAUGUGAACAAUUUGAAUUGGCUGUUAAGCUAGACAGAAAUAACUUGAAGCCAAGUAGCCGGCGUCUUCACCUGGUUGUUACGGCCAUCAGAGAGUUUGUACAAGCUAUUGAAGUGUACAAAAAAAUUCCACAUAUUUGUACCGUUGAUAAAGACGCCCUUAUAACAUUACAAAACAAAAUGUGUGAAACCGAUGAAUUGAGGUUACUUUUAGUGCUGCUGUUACGUCACUAUAAUCCGAAGUACCAUUCCAAGCAGUAUUUACAGGACCUCGUUGUAACAAACCACAUACUGCUGACGUUUUUGGAUAGCGCCAUGAGAAAUCCGAACUACACCGGUUCUACCGACAUUGUAGAACACAUUAAACAGUUCGCGGCCCCUGAAAUAAUGUACCAGUACGGGCUAUUGCUAGAAGACUACGCGGUGAACGGGGAGUACGUGAACGACUGCGUGUUCACGAUCAUGCACCAUGUGGGAGGGGAGCUGGACAGUUUGAUCAGUUUAUAUCAACCUAAGAUAUUGAAGACGUUCACUUCUAUUUGGAGGUCUGAAUUUGAAAUAUGCGACGAUUGGUCUGAUUUAAUAGAAUAUGUGAUAAACACGUUCAUAAAGAAACCGCACGCGCUGUUAACUACCGACAAUUUUAGAAUGGAUACACAGAUAUUUGACGAGAAGAAAGUCGUUACCGAACUCCAAGCAGUAGUUACGUCUGCAAAGAAAGAUCCCCAGCCUGCGGCCGAAGGGGGAAAGAAAAAGUCUGCACACAGCAGUGCGAGCCAGUCAUCUAAAGAAAGGUGGACUGAAGAAGAACUGACAUCUUUAAAUUGGAAUUAUCUGCAAUGCAAGACUCAUCCGGAUGUCAUCGGCGAAAUCAUAAGAUGCCUCAAAGAAGACAGCACAGUUAAGUCUAAAGAUUCUGUGAUCAGAGAAUUGUACAAGCAAAAUAUAAUAAACAAAGAGGAGUAUGAAAAACUGUCUAAGUCUGAAGUUAAAACCGAUAAGGGCGGUAAGAUGAACAAAGAAAUGAGGGAUGUUGAAAUUGGAAAGCUUUGUGAGCAACUAAGACAGGACGGAAAAACUAAAUGUUUUGACUGGGUUCAACAAGUUCUACUUGAAACUUGUUACGCAAAAUUGCAAAUUGAGAAGAGGUACCGUAGCGAAUGCGGCUCGACCGCGGGUCAAGCGGGCAUCCAUCAGUUCAAGUUGUUUAAUCAAGGGUUCAAUUCGCCAGUGAUGUCUCCUGUGUCCUAUCACGCUCUACUUCUUAAUCAGUCUGUGCCCCUGGUACCGUGGAAUUGUGAACAAGCAGCCAUGUGCAAGGAUUUAAAGUUUUUGCAACUGCUACAUAAACUGGGAUUCCAAAUGCCGGUCGACACCGGCAAAGUAUUCAUAAGGAUACCGCACGUCUGGUCAGCUGAGGUCUUGUACGAAGUGGCUGGCAGAGUCGCUGUUAUUGACACAACAAAACUAAAAUUCUCCGUCAGCGAAGUAACUAGUAGCGGGUCCAAGAACGCUAUGCAGCAGUGCAACUCGCCGCUGUCGACGCUCACCAAGGACGGCCCUUCAAUGAUCGCCGCGCCAGAGAACUUCUAUCAGAUACACAAACAGAAACACCUCGCUUCUAUUAUGAAUUUUACGCCUACGCCAGGUUCGUCAUUCCACACGGAUGUUCAAAACGAGAGCAAACGCUGUUGGCUGGAAGUAGUGCAACAGUCUCAAGACCUUCAACUGACUUGUACCGUGGGAAGUGUCCUGAAAAACGUGGAGGAGCUAAGUAAAUCGAAGGAAUCUUCGAGUUCGGCGGUGCAGCAGGCGGCCGCGCCCGCCGGGCCCGCGAUCCUGCCUCCCAAGGGCUUCAUCGCUCAGCUCGAGACCCACUCUGAGGAGUUGGAGGAUAACAACAGCGUCAGCGAAACUGCAUCGGUCGCAUCAGACCUAACCCGUAUGUACGUUUCGGACGAAGAGGAGAAAUUGGAGAUAGCGCUACGGCCGGGCGUCGCAGCGAAUGGUGUCGCCGGCGGCUCCGCCGGCCGCGCCGAGCGCUCCGCCGCCGAGCGACCCGGGGUCUACGCUCCCACUUUCUGAACAAAACCAAACACUAUUCUCACAUUCUAUUCUCACGUCGAUGUCCAGCGAUUAGAAUAAGUACCUAUUGGCUAUGUGCACGACGUUGGCGCCUCUUGGCGCUUUUCGGAAUCGUUUAAUUAUUUGACAGUUGCCUUUUAACAGAUUCGGUCUUACAUAUUAUUUUGUGAAAACGAUGACUUAGUAAGUUCGCCUUGAACUAGUAAUUUUAGUAAAACGUGAUAUGAAACUACUUUGUGAUACAUAAUGUGAACGUGAUAGGUCGAUCAGCACUGACUUUUGGGUUAUGCUGAGGCGGGACCAUUUCGUGGUAAACAAUUUAAUUUAUUUAUUUUAUGUUAAAAUUUCUAUGUUGUUUUAUACUUGUGUACAUGUUAAGAUUUAUCACGAAUAAAUACGAUGAAAUUAGACGUUUAAAAUGCUAAUUCAUCGCCGAAUUUAAUAGCGUAGGUAUAAACCGGCACCUUGCCUAAAAGACAGGGUACCUACCUACUUGAAAAUUGAGCCCUGGUGAUUGGUAUUAUAUGCCCUUAACUUUAACUCAUUUGGGCUUGUCUAAAUCAUUUGGGCUUGUUUAAAUAUGUCAUCAAAAUUACGAAUAGGUAUAAUUAUACCGAACUAGUAUAUUUAUGUUUAAUUUUUAUUCCCACGUUCUUUUAAAAUAGUACACCUUCGUAAAAGAUCAAGUCCUUUAAAAAAAUGUAAAUCAAGGCAGGAUUGGCAACUUAACUACGUCUGUAGGGUAGGUGGGAGUUUCACUCAAACGCCAAUGUCAACGAUACUUUUAUUGACUAUGAAAACUUAUACAUAUAGGUGCAUACAUUUAUGGGUUCAUACAAAACUGGUUACUUCCUAUCUAACUUAAUAUCGAAUAACAGACGGCAAGGUUGAGCACGCCUGUUACCGAUGCAAAUUGCCAAGGGACAGUCGGGAACCUAUCGCCAAGGCACUAGCUAAACCUAGGGAGGUCAGGGAGAAGACUGCAAGUGGCUAUCGAACUCCCGACCGAGACUUGAGACUACCCAAAGGACAGAGGUGUACCUAUCGCUAAGGCAGUCGCUAGCUAAGUCAUCUGAUGCGGCGCGGGCUGCGGCUUUUAUACCGCCCGGUCGGCGAUCGUCGUGCGCGCUCGGUGCUCCUCGGUGGCUGGCCGGUGUGACGCAGUACUGUGCGAGCGAGAAAGUAUUCAAGCCCACGCGUCGUGAGAAUUAGUAUUGUUACAUUCUCCCCCUCUGGUACUCGGUAACGUCCCGUGAGAGUACCAGGAUCAGUAUUGUUACAUUCUCUCCCUCUGGUGCUCGGUAACGUCCCGUGAGAGUACCAGGAUCUGUAUUGUUAUAGUCUCUCCCUCUGGCACACGUAUGUCUGAAGAGAGAGUAGGUACCAGGACUUGUGUAGAACGAUAUCUCCUUCAGUUUUCGCCAAGUUGGCACUAUCCUUACAGUUACUGCCUGAGAGGGUGUUCGACGGAACCCUCCCCCUGGAGUGAAGCUGGUCUGAAUAGCAUACAUCAACUGUAUUGGUGUUACUGUGGAUUUUCUGUUGCUACUAUGACUUCUUGUUGUGUUGUUACUACCUUCUUUAGAUGAUUCGUCGUUUGCCUCCUUAUUUAUUUUGUACAGUCCCAUUUUACACGUAGGGUAGUUUAGAAAAAUUAUGUAGGGUAGAUGCAACUUCUUCUUUAAAAGAGUGGGUAGUUGUCAUUGUUGAGCGUGACAGCUCACAAUAAUGUUAAAACCAAGGGACAGUCUAUGAACCUAUCGCCAAGGGACCUAGGUAAGUCUUGGAGAAGACUGCAGGUGGGCUAUCGAACUCCAGACUCAUUAUGACUCGCCAAAGGACAGAGGUGUACCUAUCGCUAAGGCAGUCGCUAUCUAAGUAAUCUGAUGCGGCGCGGGCUGCGGCUUUUAUACCGCCCGGUCGGCGAUCGUCGUGCGCGCUCGGUGCUCCUCGGUGGCUGGCCGGUGUGACGCAGUACUGUGCGAGCGAGAAAGUAUUCGAGCCCACGCGUCGUGAGAAUUAGUAUUGUUACACGUCAUUUAUUUUUAAUCUCCCAAGAGGUGGUUUUUAUUAUUGUCUAAGUACUCUUAAGUUAAGUCAUAUGAACUAAGGUUAUAAGCCUAUUUACCAGCCAAUAAGUAAAUCUUAAGUUAUUAAAUUUUGAAUCGAGUUUUGAUAGACUUCAAAUGGUGUCUGGGUAUUAACAAUGCUGAUGUUUCUUAUUUCACUACUUUUGUUUCUGUUUAGUAAUUAACUUUGAAAUAUCCAAAAAUCAUUAAAAUUUAACAGCUAAUUCUUUAUAAAAUGUUUUUACAAUUUUUUAUUCUUGAUGUAUACCGAAUCACCUUUCUUGUCUUUACAAUGAACAAAUGUCGAGCGUUAUCUGUAAUUUUACCGUAGUUAACAGUAGGUAAUUACAAUUACAUUUAAACGGGCGAAUAGUCAUAAUCCCCCAUUCCGUCGGGUUUGUAUUGAGUCUCUUUAACAAUAUUAGCCAUACCUUCCUUAUAGCACAAUGUACAGUCACCACGCGAGAUUGUUAUGCCCUUUAGGUUUCUUUUAUUUUAUAAAAGUUUAAGACUAAACAAUUGUUGAAAGUAUACAGAAUUACACAUAAAGGGAUGGACUCACUCACUAUCUAUUUUGUUGUGUGAAUGUUUGGUUAAUUAAAUAAUACAUUCAUAGGUAUUCGUCCGAAAAAAUAUAUUUAUACCUAUUCAAUUUGCCCACCUAACAUAGCACAUAGCCUAUAAGAAUAAUAAUUUUAAAGUAGCAAGUAAGAUGUUUAAUAAUGUCAUUCGAUGUUUGGGUGUUGUUAAAUGUUCUUGUGUUAAGUUUUAUAAUUAUAUAAUGAAUAAUGGUCAAUUUUAAUAAAUUUGAUGUAAUUCGUUUACUAAUAAUUGCAUUUUUUUGUUACUUUACAAUUCCAAUCUAAAUAAAGUAAAUAAUCACAAUAAUCAAUUAUUUAAAUGACGUACUGGUUAUGAACAUUUUCUAGUGCCAAUUUAACUUGGUCAAAUAGAUAAAGCCAGGCAUUUGUACACGAAUUAAACAGACUGUGAUAUGACGAGAUUAAAGGGCUUAGGUAUCAUGAUUUACUAUGCUUUUAAAAAUUCUACGCUGGAAAACAUAAAUAAUGGAGAUUAUUCCCGUAUGUUGAGGAUAUCUUUUGAAGUAGGUGCGUUUCUUUCAAACCAGAAAGACUGAAGUACCGCUGACUUUAACGUUGUUUUAGAAUAUAUGUCUGUUAAUUAGGUGUAUAAUGACUUAGAUCACAUUUCAGUUUCACAUAUUCAUGCAAUUAUAUACAUAAUUGUUUAAUUAUUAGCCAAAUGAUCCAAAUCAACGAGAACAGUUUCUACUCUAAUCUGAGUCAUAUUCGCUUUUAGCAGUUAGUAAUAAUAUGUGAUGUACCUUUUGCCGUGGAACGUCAUAUAUUAUCUCACUCGCCUGAUUAGAGAGCUUAGUUGGCGCUGACAGUGUCAUGUCAACUUAUUGUGGCCGUAUUUUAUAUUAAUUGUGUAAAUUAUUAAUUAACUAUAAAAACAUUCUCUUGUAACGAAAUUUAUUUGAAGUUAUUAAAUUAUGUCCCUGCCUAUGAUGCAGGAGGUCACGGAUUCGAAUUGUUAAACACACAAAUCAAUGCUCUUAUUUGUCACAAAUAUUUGUUCCCGAGUUAUGGAGGUUUACUAUGUAUCAUAUGUGUCUAUAUAAAAGUCUCCUACCCAUAGUUUGGGGCUAGGUCGAUCUGUGUAAGAUUGUCCCCAUUCAUAUAUAUUUUAUUUAUAUAAAUAAAAUGUAAUGUUUCCUUCGGUUCUUUAAGAUAAAUCUUCCAAGGUAGAAAAAAAUAGACAAACAGGUGACUUUCGUGUGUUUGUGUGUAGUUUGACAUGAAAGAGGCAAUUUUAACUAAAUAAAACUAUUUUGACCAGUCGCUACUUUUUUGAAUGGCGGGGCGAAUGCUCAUUGGCUGAUGUAAGACUUUUUUGAGGAAGGGAUAGUUGUCAGUAAAAUAAGAGAAAUAUCUGAA